rnacentral:rRNA from 1 species
CCUACGGGUGGCAGCAGUGGGGGAUAUUGCACAAUGGCGGGAACCCUGAUGUAGCGACGCCGCGUGGGUGAAGGAGUGCUUCGGCAUGUAAAGCCCUAUUGGCAGGGAAGAAUCAAGACGGUAUCUGACCAAGAAACCCCGCCUAACGACGUGCCAGCAGCCGCGGUAAUGCGUAGGGGGCGAGCUUUACCCGGAUUCACUGGGUGUACAGGGAGCGUAGACGGCCAUGCAAGCCAGGGGUGAAAGCCCGGGGCCCAAGCCCGGGACUGCGCUUGGAACUGCAUGGCUGGAGUGCGGCUGGGGAAGGCGGAAUUCCUGGUGUAGCGGUGAAAUGCGUAGAUAUCAGGAGGAACACCGGCGGCGAAGGCGGCCUGCUGGACUGCGACUGACGUUGAGGCUCGAAAGCGUGGGGAGCGAACAGGAUUAGAUACCCGAGUAGUC